CCCGACCCGCGGGCGCCCGGCCUCUCCCGCCCGCCCCGGGGCUCCGCGCUCCCCCGGCUCCGCCUCGCGCACUUCCCGGGAGCGGCUUCCCGGGGCCCACUGGGCUCAGAGGGUUGUUUUUUUUGUUUUGUUUUGUUUUUUCCUCUCGGUGUUUGGCGCUUUUCCCCGCCUUCCUCACCCGGAUUCAACCCUCGAGGCUGGAUCCCGGGGGGCGUCGGGAGGGCCGGCGGCGGGUGGGCGCGGAGUGCGGGGUCGCUGCCACUGCGCGCGCCGCGCCUCGGGGGGAACUAGAAUGCGUUCGGGAGCUGCCUGCCGGGCCCCGGGCACCCCCAGUGCCUGGCACUCAGCGGGCGCUCAAUAAAUAUUUGUUGAAUGAAUGAGCAGUUGACUACCGCGUUCACCCCCUGGAGCUUUAACUGACACCGAGAGGACCGGAAGCCGGGCUCCAGGGCGGACGCGACCUCCCGGGGCCACCGUUGAUAGCUUUCAAAGCGGGCGUAUUUGUCUCCGGAGCCCCACUGUAUAUGCUUCAGGCCCCAGAGACCUUGGAUCCUGUCCCUGGGUGUGAUAGACAAGGACUUAAUCACCUUUAGGACUUCCUCAGUGAUUCCUCCACGUGGACCCCUAGGAGCUGAAGCAUUUGCAUUAUAGAAUGGGGACUUCACAAAGGUAUUUCAGUUGUCUCUGUUCAAGGAAAUUGCUUAACCAAAUGUUCUCUAACUACUGGUGUACUUUGAAUUUAAUACACAUCAGGGUGUUCCGUGCGCGUCCAGUGGAACCGGAUUUCUACCAAAAUGAUUUCAGCUGCCUUUUCUGGAAUGUUUUCAGCGCCACCCCCUACCACUCGCACUGAAAGCUCUUUGCAGAACUUGAGGUUUGAAUCUGGGCGCUGGAUAUUUCAAGUUUGACAAUAAUUGCGUUAAGAGGGUUGGAGGCAAACGGAAAAUUUUAAUUACAGCCUUCAGUACGUUUAUUCUUUUUCCUCUGAAGACUGAGGUCCACCCACUUUGUUAUAUCCAAUGGUUAAAUCCCAAUUUGAAAGUCCAUUUAAAUCAUAAAAGCAGAGCUAUUCAACGUCUUUUAUUAAAAUUAGGCUUAAAAUUAGAGAGUCAACUAGAUGGGUAGGUGGAAUAAGAGCAUGAUUCCCAGAAAUAUCAAUUUCUUUUUCCUCUGAUGUCUUUUCAGAAGAAACAUUAGGCAUAUUCCAGAAGCACUGAUACUCAGACUGCGAAACCCACACAAAUAUAAACACAUUUAUGCACGCACAAGCACUAGCAUACUCUGCUUGAAAGGUGCCUUGGAGAAAGAAAUGAGGAUAAAUGAAUUUGAAUGUGGAGGCUAGUUUGACAUGAACAUUGUGACCAUCCCUCACAACGCCUGAAUAGAUGGAUGUGAAGACAAUUGGCGAGGGCUUGCUUCCUCCGUUGAUUACAAGGUUUAUUUCGCCAAAUCUGGCUGACUUGAUUGCUUCUCUGAAAAAAGCUAUGGAUUCUAUUAAAGAGCAUCUCUCUCUCUCUCUCUCUCUCUCUCUCUCUCUCUUUCUUUCUUUCUUUCUUUUUUUUUCUGGAUGAGCCUACAUAUGAGUGAGUGUAGUUGCUAGAAUAACCAAAAAAAAAAAAAAAGGGUGGAAAAAUGUAAUUGGCUCUAAUAUCACUUUGAGGUCUUCUGAGGGCAAAUGCUCUAGCUUUAGGACAGGGUGGUUCUAUGUAAGUCAGGCGCAGGGUGAGGCAUUGUCAUUUGGGACCCAUGAGCUAAACUGGACAAAGGAACUCACCCCUGCAGCCCUAGAAGUACUUUUUUUUUUCAUAGACCCUAGAAACUCACAUUGCUAUCUACUCUCUGCCGCCCAGAUGAUUUAUCUGGUGAGCAUCUUUGGGUCUGUUCUUGGCUCUGCCACGGGCCGUGGUAGGUCCACUUUCUCUGAUGACUGGGAGAUGAUGGUCACUUCUCCAGUGCUAGUCAUACCCUCACCCCCAUCGCCGGGAGAUGGGUGCUCGGUAAGCUUAGCUUUCACCCUCUUUGCAAACACAGCAAAAAGCUUUUAGUUUUGCUUCUGGAAUGCUCUUUGCUGCAGACAUCUAAAUGUGCUUCAAGUUCACCUUUGAAAGAAGUUGAUGACAUGAGCAACUCAAAGUUAUUAUUAGCUUGAUGACAGUUGGAUCAAUAUUCAAUGCGAGAAGCGAGGAACACCACUUGAAUUUUCAAAACUGUAUUUACGUAACGUGUCUUGAAAAGUUCCUCUAUGUGUUGAAAAUCUAUCUUCAGGGGCGCUUGGGUGGCUUGGUCGGUUAAGCCUCCGACUUCGGCUCAGGUCAUGAUCUCACAGUCCGUGAGUUCGAGCCCCGCGUCGGGCUCUGUGCUGACAGCUCAGAGCCUGGAGCCUGUUUCAGAUUCUGUGUCUCCCUCUCUCUCUGCCCCUCCCCUGUUCAUGCUCUGUCUCUCUCUGUCUCAAAAAUAAAUAAACGUUAAAAAAAAAAAAAAAGAAAAUCUAUCUUCAUUACACUUUGUAAAACAAGAGGUGAUAAAAACUAAGAAGCAAGGUGGAAAAAUUAUAAUGUAAGCUUAAGGUACAAUAAUUAAACUAUAUAUGCCGUAAUAUACUUAUAACUAUAUAAAAUUAUAUUUUGCAUGGAAAAUGACUGUAGAGGAACAUUAAAAAUGGAAAUUUUUAACCUUCUUCAAAAGAAAACUACUUGGUUGCUGAGAUUCCUGGACCAUGUACAAAAGCAGAAAGUUAAGUGCUUAAAUUUGACCUUUAUUUGGGAUAAGAGUGAAGUUUCAUUCUGAAGCCCCUUGGUAACUGUGACAUUGUGACUAUGUUGUUUAGAUGACUGUCAUAGCAGAUUUUUCUUCCUGUUACUUCAUGGUCAGUUAAGAAACAAACAUUUGAUCUAGAAAUUUUAUUUAAUACCAGACAGAUUCUCCAUGGUCACUAGCUGUAGCGUAACAAUAAUAAUUACUAUUCAUGGCCUGUGCCUGGCACUAAGCUAAAUCAGCUUGUCUGAUCCUCACAUAACCUAAUGAGGUAAAUAGAACAUUAUUGUCAUCCCCCCCCCAACUUACAAAUGUGGAAAGUGUGUCCCAGAACAUGUUACAAUAUUGCCCGCGUAAUUACGU